UUUUUUUUUGUUAUUUCUAGGGCAGCAGUAGCUCUAACCAUUGGGGAGGUUCCAGUUCCAGUCAAUGGACUGCAGGAGGAGGCGGAGGAUCAGAAACAGUCAUUAACGGUCCACAGGUAACAUUAUAUCAUCUACAAAAACUGUUAAAAUUAUAUCUGUAUACAUGUACAGUCAACCAAUUUGAAUCCUAGGCCACUAUAGAACCUUGUCGCUUUAACUACUCUAUACAUGACAUGCAUCACUCAAUAAGCACUGUCGUAGAAGUCAUUAUGACAUGGUUCUAUAGUGGCCUAGGAAUCAAAUUGGUUGACCGUACCUACGAACACCACUUUAUCUUUGGCUUUAUAAGUAUUUAUAUAAGUACUAAUUUAUUCGCAACGUAUCAGCAUUGCGAUACAACGAGGCAAUGUGGUCGGACUGGCCAGCAUCCUUGGUACAAUGCCUCAAGGGCCUAUUUUUAGAUUUAAGCUAGUUAUUUAUUUAGUUUAGUAGUUCCACAGUUGCUGUAGUCCCCCUUUUAAGCUUUAUUUAUUUUUAAAUUUAAGGCUAAUUUUAUUUAUUUUAAGAUUUAGGUUUUAGUCAUAGUUUCGUUCAGUUGAAUUUUUUUAUUAUAUACAUAUACUCUGGCAAAGCGGCUUUGACAGUAGAAAAGGCGGGAAAUUUGAAUUUUGUUCCUUUUUCAACUGACAAAGUCGGCUUGCCAGAGUAUAAGUCAGUAAUCCUAUUUAAUUCAGCGAAAAGGGAUACCUUUUGUAUGGACAAAUUACUGGUUUGAUUCUUCAAAGUCUUCAAACUAUAAAUAAACCAUGAAUGGCUUAAUA